AUGAACGCUAGCGGCAGGCCUAAUACAUGCAAGUCGAACGGUAGAUCGGGUAGCAAUACCUUGAUUGAGAGUGACGUAAGGGUGCGUAACACGUAUGCAAUCUACCCUCAACAGGAGUAUAGCUCGGGGAAACUCGGAUUAACACUCCAUAACAUUACGAUGUGGCAUCACAUUGUGAUUAAAACUCCGGUGGUUGAGGAUGAGCAUGCGUCUGAUUAGUUAGUUGGAGGUGUAACGGACCCCCAAGACGAUGAUCAGUAGGGGAACUGAGAGGUUGAUCCCCCACACUGGCACUGAGAUACGGGCCAGACUCCUACGGGAGGCAGCAGUAGGGAAUAUUGGUCAAUGGGUGAGAGCCUGAACCAGCCAUGCCGCGUGCAGGAAGACGGCCUUCUGGGUUGUAAACUGCUUUUAUCUGGGGAUAAAAAGCCCAUGCGUGGGACAUUGAAGGUACCAGAUGAAUAAGCACCGGCUAACUACGUG
rnacentral:rRNA from 1 species